CUGUACAUUCCGAUCGAGUUUCUGACCGACCGAUCCAUCACGCGCCGGUCCUGUUCGUCGUCUGCAUGCAUUCCAUGACCUGCAAGUGCGAUGCGCUGACGGACACCAAGGCCGCCUGCUUCAGCGCCCUCUGGAUCGGGACUCUGUGCUGCGCUGGAUCCCAGGCGACCGCGGCGGCGCUGGCGCUGCUGCUCCCACGCCGCCCCCGCUGGAUCAUCCGUGAACUGGCCAACUUCUCGGUCGCGGUCGCCGGCGCUGGCCACUGCAUGUUCCACGGCGCCAUCUACAUCCUCCACCCAGGAGUCUACUUCACACUGGCCUCGAUCCUGUUCAUGCUGGGCGACAUCAUCUGCGGCAUGACUCUCUACCUGGUAGGUGAGGACUGAGGAGUAGGGCAAGCAGCACGCACCACGCAGCCACGCUUAGUUGAGCUAGCUGCAUGAGAUUAUGUGUGAUUAUGUGCAUGUAUCAGCUCGUAGGAGAGGUACUGAUGACAUCGUGGUUCUAGCUAAGGAAGAAUAAACCUAUAGUAUGCACGCAGUAUAUAUGCUGCGAGGACCGAUUGAUGGAGUGCCGUAUGUAUGUGUGAAUCUACUAGUGUUCGGGAUUUAGGACGUCGAUAACGGCCGAACGUUCGGCCUCGUGGCUCGCCAGAUCGAACGAUUUGUUCGGUGACGGGGUGGGCAGCGACCGAACAAAUUCGUUCGGGAUGAGAGGAGUCCCAGCCCGAACGCCCUCCCCCCCACCUGCAUAGCAUCUGUUCGGCAUUAUGACUAUAACAAAGAAAAGAAAGCCUAGUAUGGCCCAGUUUGCACUACGAAUAAAAAACAUUUUUUGAUCUGUGAAAAAAGAAAGCUCAGGUUUUGCCAUAUUAUGAAAAAAAAACUGCCAUUAAAAGAAGAAAAUUGAGAACUAAAAAAUCCCAGUGAUGCAAACCAGAAAUUGCCAUCUGUCUUUAACCAAGCAAAAAUGCUAUGGGCAAAGAUGAUAUUUGUUUACAAAAGAAUAAAACAAACAUGAAAAUGCCUAAAACCUACUAUGUGUAGAAAAAUAGAAAAAUAACAAAAUACCAUAUGCAGUAAGUAUUUUUUCCAUGUAAUAUACACAUGACUAAUUUACCAUCUAAUAUAAUACCAAAAAAUCAUACAUGAAUAAGAAUGCAACAAUGCGACUCCUUAGUUAAAAAUUGUACUCUUUCUCGCAUCGUCCUAAAAAAGAAUCUUGCCGCGAGCAUUAAUCUAAAUUUUUCAUGGGACAUCUAGUGAAUUUGCCAUGGUAAAAAAAUAGUUGACAUCAUCUUGAAAAAAUAAACUUGCCAUGGGCAUUAAACUGAAUUUAUCAUGGGACAUCUAGUGAAUUUGCCAUGGAAAAAUCAGUUUAAAAUUGCCAUGAAAAAAUGUUGACAUUGUCUUGAAAAAAGGAACUCGCCAUGGGCAUUAAACUGAAUUUUCCGUGGGACAUCUAGUGAAUUUUCCAUGGCAAAAUCACUUUAAAAAAUUGCCAUGGUAAAAAAAAUUGACAUCGUCUUCAAAAAAAGAAACUUGCCAUGGGCAUUAAACUGAAUUUGCUGUCGGACAUCUAGUGAAUUUGCUGUGGUAAAAAAUAAUAACAUCAUCUUGAAAAAGAUAGUUGCCAUGGGAAUCAAACUGAAUUGGCCAUGGGACAUCUGGUGAAUUUGCCAUGACAAAAUCACUUAAAAAAUUGCCAUGGUAAAAAAAGUUGACAUCGUCUUGAAAAAAAGAAACUUGCCAUGGGCAUUAAAUUGAAUUUGCCGUGGGACAUCUAGUGAAUUUGCCAUGGCAAAUUCACUUUAGAAAAUUGCCAUGGUAAAAGAAAAGUUGACAUCGUCUAGAGAAAAGAAACUUGCCAUAGGCAUUAAACUAAAUUUGCCAUGGGACAUCUAGUGAAUUUUCCAUGGCAAAAUCACUUUAAAAAUUGCCAUCCUAAAAAAAAGUUGUCGUCGUCUUGAAAAAAGAAACUUGCCAUGGGCAUUGAACUGAAUUUACCGUCAGACAUCUACUAAAUUUUUCGUGGCAAAAUCAAUUUAAACAUUGCCAUGCUAAAACUUGCCAUGAUCUACGAACUAAAUUUGCCAUGGCCAAUUUAGGACACAAAAUAAUUCAUCUUGUCCUAAAAAACUUGCCAUGCUAUCUAGACAAAAGUGUGACUUUCCUAGAAGAAUGCUUGUAAAUACGCAUGUAUAGUGGCCAUGAAAAAAAAACUAAAAUUAAGUUUCCCAUGUCAAUACAUCUUAAGUUUGCAAAUAAUGACAGAAAAACAACACAUCUUAGGUGGUGUUUGGUUCUCUAGUCCUAGGACUUUUUCUAGUCCCAACUAAAAAGUCCCUAGUCCCUAAAAAGUCCCUCCCUGUUUGUUUCCAGAGACUAAAAAGUCCCUAGUCCCUUCCUAGAGGUUAUUAAAUGACCAUGUUGCCCCUAGUAUAUAGAAACAUAACAAUCAAACAACACUAUGGGGUGGCGGGCCAAUGGGUGCAUGGAGGGGCAUUAUUGGAAAAGUCCCAAAAAGACUCUCCUUGAGAGUCUUCUUCAUUUAGUCCCAAAUGCCUAGUUUAGUCCCUAAAAAGUCCCUCCCGUUUGGUAAAAAAGUCUCUAAGAGGGACUUUUUCUAGUCCCUACACAAAAAAGCCCCGGGAAACAAACACCCCCUUAAAGUUUUGCAUUGCAAACUCGAUCUUGAGCUACCCAUAGGACGACAUGUUAAAGAAUUGCCAUGGCAAUAUCACAUUAUAGACAAAUUAAAAGCAAUGGACAGCCGUUCCAGGGAACAAAACAACUAAUCCCCAUAUAAAUGUUUAGAUCAGAGGAAAAACCCCAUCAAAAACACCAUGAACAAAACAACUACUUCCCAUAUACACUGUGAAUCUGCGAUGCAUCUACUCCACCAACAAAGUGUGACCAAACUAAAAAAUCCAUCUCAUCUCUGCCUCAAUUUUCAGCCAUGGACUUAAAUUGCCAUCCUUCAUUGAAAACUACAUUUGCCUUCGCAAAAAGUGGAGACAUGCCAUUUUUUCAGUUGUCAUGUGAUCAUGGCAAUUAAAAUUUGCCAUUGUGUUGGGUAAAAGCAUGGUAAUACUUUGCCAUGAGACAUAGGAGGAACCUCCAAGCACUUGCCAUGUGACAGCUACAAAAAGAAACAAGACUCUGUAAAAUUUCCAUGAUGAAAGAACACAUUUGUUGAGAAAAUUGCCAUGGGUUUGAACAAAACUUUACCAUUGCCCCCAUUUACUAUCACAUAUCAUCUACGGCAAAAAGAAAGAAAACAGGCCUACUGCCCACAUCUAAAUUGGACAGAAUUUUUUGCCAUAGCAAGUAUAUAUAAACAUCAUGGCAAAAAUUGCAGUAAUUUUGAAAAAGGGGUCUCACAGUGUUAACAACAUGGAAAAAAACCAAACAAAAGGGCAUGUCACAAGCUGUGAAUGUUCUUAACAUUCAGAAAAAAAAUAAAACAAAAAAGGGAAUCUGGAAUCAAUUUUCAAUGCUUGCAUUAAAUCUGUAGAAUACAUAAACCGCAAGUGUUGUGAAUCAUUGACAUGAUUUUUAAAGACAACAAAUAAUAUGUUGAUAUUUUCAGGCGUUCAUGCUUCAGUUGUUGGUAAAAUUCAGGCAUUCAGGCACGGGAUGAAUUGUGAAGCAUUGACAACGAAUGACAUUGGGAAUGAAGCAUUGCUCACCUUGAAAACGCUUUCCUAAUUGAUGUGGCGGAAGUCACGGGUCACGGCGGUCGCUGCGAGGAACAAGCUGUGGGCACGGCGGCGACGCAUCCGGCUUGCUCGUCUUGCUGGUACUGCUUUAGAGUAGGAACGUGACCGAGGGUAUGGUCUGCGGCUGUGGCCGCUGGCACCACAACGCCGACGGUCAACGCUCCCUAAUGCAGAUGCUGCCCGCAGCGCGCGGAGCAGAGCUGUCCUGGCCGCCAGGCCUGGAGAGUCUGGCGCCGAGCCGAGCAUUGGCGUGAGCCAUCCCUGGCCGCAGGGCAUGUAGAUGAGGAAGAAGGAGGAGAAGCAAAGAGAAGAGCGCAAUGGAUUCACCGGCGAGCGGUCGCAGCGCUCCGGCGUACGGCGACGCGGGGACGACCAGAUCUCGGCGAGAGGAAGGCGUCGGCUGCUGCCUGGGUUGGAGGCGAAUCGACGGGAGCUCGGCGUCGUUGCAGGCAUCAGGGACGCCCGGUGUGGCGGCGGUGCACGACGAGCAGCUCGCCACCCCGUAUGGGCGUGGGUGCAGGCAUCAGGGAGAAGAAAGGAGUGUAGGAGGAGAAAAGGAUAGGGACAGAGGAGUGGGGCGGCGUUCGGGACGGCUGUCUUUCAUGCCGAACGAGCUUCUUCGCUGACGUGGUGAUUUUUGGUGCUCCAGGAUUCGUGCGAAAAAUCAAACGGUAGAGAAGGCGUUCGGACUGAGAAUCUAAAAAAGGUACGUUCUUAUUGAUUCCGGGGAUUUAUUUUCAUGAACUCAUAUGUAUGUCGUUUCUCGUGUUGAGCAUCGCUGUUUUCCAUUAAAUCAACCACCUGCAACUGCUGGCGUAUGCAUGUAUACAUCUGGGUUCAGCUGUGUCGUCGGUUUGGCCCGGAUUUGUCGUCACGGAGUACCUUACGUGUUCCCCUCGAUUGGCUGGGGCCUGGGUGCGUCGUGGCUCCGUUCAGAUCGUGUUGACGUCUUGACUCCGUUUGGUCUGGAACAUAUCUGGACUCGACGACGGGUACCUACUUGCGAGGUUUCAGAUAGGUUGGCUCCUUCGGAUGGGCAUGGCUCUGGCUGGCUGGCUGGCUAGUACGAGCGGUGCAGAUCCAUCAUGGACGGCCGCGUGCACAUGACGGACGUGCUCGUGCUUUGCCACGACGAUGCAAGGUCGUGGUCGUAGCAAUAUGACACACGGCACGGACCAUCCAGCAAGAUGAAUUGGCGGCUGUCGCGGUCAUCCUGCGCGUAACUACAGCCGUCAUUUCUCAAAAGAGAAAAAGCUGUAGCGGCCAUUCGUGACCGACGCGUGUGGCCAGCAGCAAUCCCUCCCACGUAGCAGAGACAUGAUCAUAUGCCGCAUGCAACUUGUGGUUUGCAAGGUUAUAUCCGCAUGCCGUGUGGCCAUUUGUGACCGACCCGUGCGGCCUGACCAGCAGCAAUCCCACGUAGCAUGCAUGCAAUUUUCUUUUUCUUCCUUUUUUGCGGGUGCCAUGCAUGCAAUUUCUAAAACACAAUAAAUGCUCCAUGCAUGCGUGCCAUGGUGGUCUCAGGCUUUUAAGAAUAUAAUAAUUUUUUUCCAAGACCACAACCCUGUGAAAGAAUUCAGUUUUGUUAAGAUCAAUCUUCACUUGUUUUCUAAUGCAGGAAUUCCUCUUAUCCUUUCUAAAGAACAUCUAGGACUUCAAUUUACCGAUUAAACUUAUGUUGAUGACAUAGUUAUGCCAUACAUUUCCUAGCCUCAGCUGACGCGAAAUAAAUUUUAUGGCCAUAGCAAUGUCGUCCAGUGAGCUGUGUGCACGUAGGACAAACAAUGAGCUGUGUGCACGUAGGAGUAAUUUGCAAGGAUCCUCAUUGUUUGUUGGAAGCAAACAACAUGUUUCGACUUUCAAGUAUUGAGCGCUUUGUACUUCUGACCGAUUGGUUCUCCACAUGUACUGUGACCGUCUCACUUUGUUAAAGCAACUACUACAAGGGGAUUAAUAAACCAGGAUGAAGGUACUAGCUCGUUUGCUCACUUUAGCCUAGAAAAGCGUGAUUGCUUUGCUUUGCAUUGCAUUGUUUUCUUCAAGGGGCUGAGGGGAGGUAGAUGAUACAGAUGUGCGUCAUUGUCAUCGGUGAUCAUCACAUUUCUUCUUCUUUUCACAUCUCUUUCAAGUAUUAGAAGCCAAGGGUCAAGGAAAACCGUGAGGGCCUUUAGAGCCCCAUUUUCCAUUCUUGGCAAAGAAAAAACAGUGCAGUUCGCACAUGCUGACACGAAUAUGUUACUGGCCUUGCACAAUGCGUAAGGUGGUUCGGUAACAUACUAGUGGCAUAUGGACACGGAGUCUGUGAUCCCGAACUCACAUGCAUCCGGGUGAAGAGUAAAAUCAGGAAAAUAGUAAUAACAAAGCACCAUCAGUGUUGCUAGGAACUCUAUCAUUAACUUGUACUAGACAAUUCUCCGUGCGUUGCUGCGGAAUUAGUUGCAAUAGUUUGGUUGAAAUUUGGUUGUGUGAUUUAUACGGUUGAACUAUGUAUAUAGUGGUAGUACUAUGCUAAAAUGCUUAAGAAAAACAUAAAAUUGUACAUGCAUGUGCCGUAUUGAUACCUUCAUUGACUGGUAAAUGGCUUAUAUUAAAAUCAUAAUAUAAAUAUCAUUUAUGACUGUCAAUACAUUCAGUCCUGAAUUAACUGUGUAUUAACAAUUUUAAAAAUAGCAUAUCUUGCACAUUCUUAUGACUGCAAGACAUCUAUAUAGCAACACCCAUAGCAUUGUAUCCCUAGAAGUUCCAACUUUCAUAUCACAAAAUAUUUACAAUUGGCAAGUACAUGGACAACCAGUGUGAUGUCUGUAGGUGAAUUCCCCAUGCGUUGCUGUAAGGAUUUGUGGACCAAAAUUGGAGAAGCAAUUGGUUAAUGAAGCAAAGAAGAAAAUACGAAUAUAGUUUUAGAGAACCCUAAUAUGUUAGUUGUGCUAAUCACAUUUGUCCUUGAGUUGAGAGGAAAAUUUAAGAAGACUAUCAUAACGAAUAUAGUGGUAGUACUAUGCUAAUCACAUUUGUCCUUGAGUUGAGAGGAAAAUUUAAGAAGACUAUCAUAACGAAUAUAGUGGUAGUACUAUGCUAAUCACAUUUGUCCUUGAUCUGCCAGGGAAAUACCAAAGCGAAUACUCGUAUCUCUGCGAAGAAAACAAUAACGUUGAAAUUGUGAGGGCAUCUCGUAUCUCUGCAACUGCAGAUUUAUAUAGUGUGCAUGCAUGAGAAGUUGAAGCAGAAAACCCGACACUGACCGAAGUUUUGCAGUAAUAAAGAUCAGGCAAAUUAAGCUAAAGAGAAAAUCUUGGUCAGCCAUGUAGGUGAGAUCCUGAUUCAAGAGGGGAAAGGUUGUUGUCCUUCAGUUUUGUGUGUGGUCAUACUGAUUUGCGUAAAAUAUGCCUACACUGCCCUGUUCAUCUGCAAGCAUAAACGAGCAACCCAUGAUAUUGCAAAAACAUCUAAAUAUAUUAUAGAGAUAAUCAGUAAGUAACUACAUUUUUUUUGCGGGGACUAAGUAACUACGUUAGGAAUGUAUCUCAUCAUACAUUGCAUAGUGUUAAUCUCUGCAGAAAAAAGAAAUAUGCAUCAAGAAGCUAACAUCAAUGCCUACCUCUAUGGGGUGGGUUUACCGGCGGUCCGAAGGUUGAAGAGAAAUCAAGAGCGGCAGGAGGAGGGAUUCCAGAUGCUAUGGGAAAGAGGAUUAGAGGGAUUAUAAAAAACAAAUAAAAAUAGAACGAACCAAUCUUGAUUAUGGCCAAUGACUCUUCAAUGUUCAACGCUUUAUUAUUUGGAAAUGGUCAAAAAAAGGUAAAUCCACAACUUAGUUGUAGUGAGUAUAUAUAGCUAUAGUACAAGUGCACCUCAGUGGUCAGCGGCGAGUGGUGGCCUGGGGUCUCGGCAAGCCGGCCGCCAUGGCGUCAAAUAGGAGUAGCGCUGUUUUGGUGUUUCCCUUGUAGGUUGUGCGACCACCCUCGCCGACAUGGACGACCGGAGGAGGUAGGCGCCGCGUAUGUGGACACACGAAGACGCUGCUGCUGGAACGGCCGGCCCGUGGGAGGAGCAUUAGAACCUUUGGCGUGGACGGCCGAUGGAGGAGCGAGCCUUCAUGAUAGGGAAGAAAAGACGUGCAAGCAAAAUUUGGUGGGGAGUUCAUAAGGCGCUGGGUCUCAGCUCUCUAUCACCAGUUACAGAAUAUGGAGGAACUAAUGCCAACUGAGUGGAAAUUAAAUCCCACGAUUUCCUGAAAGGUUGUGGUGGGUCCCUUUAGAAAGUAACUAAGCGAUUAUGCGGCCAGCUAGCAAGUAACUAAACGCUUAUGUGCCGGCUGGUGUACCUACUGUAGUGGUUGGUCCGUAUGUAAGUGACUAAUAGACUGCUGAUGUGUAAUCGAUGAUGUGGCUACACUGCAGAGGUGGAAAGAAGUGGACGGUUGCAUGUUGACUGGUUAUGUGGACAGUGUGCAUGAUGAGAGAAUAGAUAGUAGUGGGGAUCGACUUCUUAAGAAUGUUAGAUUUGUGUGAGAAACUAUACCACUAUAACUCCCAUGCAAGUAGUUAAACAUUAGGCCAUCAAGACCAAAAAUAAGCUGAUGAAUGGGUCUCAAGACCAAUCGUCAAAACCUAAUCGAUCUAUGACCUGUAACCUAAUAUGCAAUGUAACACCAAAUUAAGGUUGUGCUGCCUUAUGCAUACCGGCUAACGACAUCCAAAGUAGAAAUAAUCUCAAGAUAAAAUAUGUGGAAAAUAAAUUACUCGCCCAAUCAGCAAGACGGCGAUCUAAUCCAUGGUAUCGUUUACUUAUUGCAAAGUCACCCAAUCCUACUAGGGUUCAAGGUCACACAACAUCAACAGAGGACCCACAACCAAAAUCGCAAAAGAAAUGACCCACGGCCGAGAGCCCGAGAGGGUCAUGUCACUUUGCAUGCCAAAAACUCAGGACCAAAAUCCCGGGCAAGCAGCACGCACCACGCAGCCACGCUUAGUUGAGCUAGCUGCAUGAGAUUAUGUGAUUAUGUGCAUGUAUCAGUUCAUGGGAGAGGUACUGAUGGCAUCGUGGUUCUAGCUAAGGAAGAAUAAACCUAUAGUAUGCACGCAGUAUGCCUGCGAGGACCGAUUGAUGGUGUGCCGUAUGUAUGUGUGAAUCUACUACUGUCCGGGAUUUAUGUUCAUGAACUAUGUGUGUCGUUUCUUGUGUUAAUCAUCGUUUUCCAUUUCCAUUCAACCACCUACAACUGCUGGCGUAUGCAUGUAUUCAUCUGGGUUCACCUGUGCCGUCGGUUUGGCCCGGAUUUUUCGUCACGGAGUACCUCCUCUCGAUUGGCUGGGUUCGUCGUGGCUCCGUUCAGAUCGUGUUCACGUCUUGACUCCGUUUGGCCUGGACUCUGGACUCGACGACGGGUACCAACUUGCGAGGUUUCAGAUCGGUUGGGUCCUUGAUGGGAAUGGCUCUGGCUGGCUGGCUAGUACGAGCGGUGCAGAUCCAUCAUGGCCGGCCGCGUGCACAGGACGGACGUGCUCGUGCUUUUGCCGCAACGAUGCAAGGUCGUAGUCGUAACAACAUGACACACGGCACGAACCAUCCAACAAGAUAAGUUGGCGGCUGCGCGUAACUACAGCGGUCAUUUCUCAAAAGAGAAAAACGUAUAGCGGACAUUCGUGACCGACGCGUGUGGCCUGGCCAGCAGCAACCCCACGUAGUAGAAACGUACGGUCAUAUCCUCCACGCAUGCAAUUUCUAAGAAACAAAAAAUGCUCCAUGCAUGCGUGCCAUGGUGGUCUCAUGCUUUUAAGAAUAUAUUUUUUCCAAGAGCACAACUCUGUGAAAGAAUUCAUGUUAUCCACUGUUCCCUUUUAAGAUCAAUCUUCACUUGUUUUCUAAUGCCAGAAUUCCUCUUAUCCAUUCUAAAGAACAUCUAGAACUUCAAUUCACCGAUUAAACUUAUGUUGAUGAUGUGUGUUAAAAAAACGUACGUUGAUGAUAUAGUUAUGCCAUACAUUUCCUUGCCUCAGCUGAGGCGAAAUAAAUUUUAUAUAUGGCCGUAGCAAUGUUGUCCAGUGAGUUGUGUACACCAGUGCACGUAGGUGUUUUUUUCUCUCUCUUUGAGAUACUAGUAAUUUGAGUAGGGCAAGCAGCCCGCACCACGGCAGCCACGCUUUGUUGACCCAGCUGCAUGAGAUUAUGUGAUUAUGUCCAUGGAUCAGCUCAUGUGAGAGGUACUUGGUUCUAGCUAGGGAAGGAUAAACCUAUAGUAUGCACGCAGUAUGCUGCGAGGACUGAUUGUGAUCGAGUGCCGUAUGUUUGUGUGAAUCUACUAGCUAGUGUCCGGGAUUUAUGUUCAUGAACUCAUAUGUUGUUCCUGGUGUUGAGCAUCAUUGUUUUCCAUUAAUUCAACCACCUGCAACUGCUGGCGUAUGUAUCCAUCGGGGUUCAG
rnacentral:lncRNA from 1 species